rnacentral:rRNA from 1 species
UACGGAGGGAGCUAGCGUUAAUCGGAAUUACUGGGCGUAAAGUGUGCGCAGGCGGCAGAGCAAGUCGAGUGUGAAAGCCCCGGGCUUAACUUGGGAAUUGCGCUCGAAAUUACUUUGCUGGAGUGUGGCAGAGGAAGGUGGAAUUCCACGUGUAGCGGUGAAAUGCGUAGAGAUGUGGAGGAACACCAAUGGCGAAGGCAGCCGUCUGGGCCAACACUGACGCUCAUGCACGAAAGCGUGGGGAGCAAACAGG